rnacentral:lncRNA from 1 species
GUCCAUGUAAAUGGGAUUUGCUUGAUUGAAGAUCUUGCUUGAAAUCCUCAACUUGAUUGAAGUCAGUACCCGAAGCUCUGGCCGGAGGGUCAGUUGAAAUGGAGCAAGUUGGAUCCAGUUCAGUCAAGGAGAGAAAGGAGUGCUUUAAUGAAGAAAACCAUCACUGGGGCUGGAGAGAUGGUUCAAUGGAUAACAACACUGACCACUCCUCCAGAGGAACCAGGUUCAAGUCCCAGCACCCACAUAGCAGCUCACAAUCUCUAUUAACUCUAGUUCCAG